CAUGCAAGUCGAACGCUUCUUUUUCCACCGGGAGCUUGCUCCACCGGAAAAAGAGGAGUGGCGAACGGGUGAGUAACACGUGGGUAACCUGCCCAUCAGAAGGGGAUAACACUUGGAAACAGGUGCUAAUACCGUAUAACAAUCAAAACCGCAUGGUUUUGAUUUGAAAGGCGCUUUCGGGUGUCGCUGAUGGAUGGACCCGCGGUGCAUUAGCUAGUUGGUGAGGUAACGGCUCACCAAGGCCACGAUGCAUAGCCGACCUGAGAGGGUGAUCGGCCACAUUGGGACUGAGACACGGCCCAAACUCCUACGGGAGGCAGCAGUAGGGAAUCUUCGGCAAUGGACGAAAGUCUGACCGAGCAACGCCGCGUGAGUGAAGAAGGUUUUCGGAUCGUAAAACUCUGUUGUUAGAGAAGAACAAGGAUGAGAGUAACUGUUCAUCCCUUGACGGUAUCUAACCAGAAAGCCACGGCUAACUACGUGCCAGCAGCCGCGGUAAUACGUAGGUGGCAAGCGUUGUCCGGAUUUAUUGGGCGUAAAGCGAGCGCAGGCGGUUUCUUAAGUCUGAUGUGAAAGCCCCCGGCUCAACCGGGGAGGGUCAUUGGAAACUGGGAGACUUGAGUGCAGAAGAGGAGAGUGGAAUUCCAUGUGUAGCGGUGAAAUGCGUAGAUAUAUGGAGGAACACCAGUGGCGAAGGCGGCUCUCUGGUCUGUAACUGACGCUGAGGCUCGAAAGCGUGGGGAGCAAACAGGAUUAGAUACCCUGGUAGUCCACGCCGUAAACGAUGAGUGCUAAGUGUUGGGAGGGUUUCCGCCCCUUCAGUGCUGGCAGCUAAACGCAUUUAAGCACUCCCGCCUGGGGGAGUACGACCGCCAAGGUUUGAAA
rnacentral:rRNA from 1 species